ensembl:lncRNA
CAGGCAGCUGCAGGCGAGAGGAAAACAGCGCGGGCUCACCCGGGACCUACUGUGUGCUGCUGGCGGUUCCAGGGACUUGUCCAUCUCUGUAACAGCCCUGGAGGGUGGGUCCUGUUAUUCCCACUCUUUUAGGUGGAGAAGAUGAGACACAGAGGAGUCAGCUGCAUCCGCAGAGGAUGAGAUGGUUGGAUGGCAUCACUGAUUCAAUGGACAUGAACCUGGGCAAACUCCGGAAGAGGAUGAGGGUCAGAGAAGCCUGGCAUGACGCAGCACACGAGGCCGCAGAGAGUCGGACACAGCUUAGCGACUGAACAACAGCUGCGUUCAGAUGCUCAGUAGCCACGUGUGGACAGUAAGUGACUACAGUCUCAGCAGAUCCAAAGGGAAUCUGAAGCUGUGGACGGCUGCGAUCGGCUGGCAACACUUACUGUGGAGGCGUAACGGGAGCGGAGACCACUGCGCCUGAUAUUUGUCCUUCCUGGCUUAUUUAUCUCUUUACCCCCAGCUCCUGUUGUGAGAGAAUGGCCCCAUGGUUAUCUCAGUGAUUUGGGAUGUGCUGAGGGCUGGCACACUCUUUGAGUUUUCUUACCUAGAAAGGGAGACGGUGAUAGGGAGUCCUUGCAGUUUUCUAAGAAGGGGAGGGACAGCACCAGGUUAGCACAUGGCAGCCGGCUCUGGCAUUGGCCAGAGAGCAGCGCAGAGGACACAGGCCAGGACUGGGCAGGGAGGCAGCAUGGGGCCGCUAACUUAGAGCCAGACGAGUUGGUUACAGGCACAGUCGAGACGCUCUGGCUCCUUCCGCUCCUGGGAGGAAGGUCUCAAGAAACGGGGUGGUGGUUCCAGCCCUGGGGCAGGGCUUCCCUCCCUCCGGGGAGGGGCUGUAUUGUUGCUGGCUUUUAUUGCUGUUUAUUGCUAUUACAUGCAUUGACCUCACUCCGAAGAAGGAGCUAGAAUACACGUGAAGCUGUGGAAGGGACCGAGCCCUGGGGGAAGAAGUUCUCCAAGCUCAGCUGAGUGGUCAUGUGACCCUAGUUCAAGCGACCCCGCCUUUCUGAGGCUGAGUUUUCUCACAGGAGGACUGUUAAGAUGCCCAUGCAGGAGAGAAGCUCGGGAGUGAGGGGAUAUAUGCAUAAACAUAGCUGGUUGACUUCGGUGUACAGCAGAGGGAACACAGCAUCAUAAAGCAACUGUACUAAAAAAAUAAGAUGCUC